ACAAGGACACAAACUAUUUUAAAAAGCUUCCACAACAUAUAAUAUUUUGCUAACUAACGACUGAAUAAAAAUCACUAUUUUGGGAUUAAUAAAAGAUAACGACGAGAUCUAAACAGAAAAUGUUUUAUACUAAAAUAAAGUAAUUAGACAAUGGAUGCAACAUGAACUUUUUGUUUAAUGAGGAAUGGUCCUCAAAACUAUAAUAAAGAAGAAAAAUAAAACAAAAACUAAAAAAUUGUAAAGGAAGAUAAAACGUUCCCCAACCAAACAAAAAGAAACAAAAAAGAAAAUACCCAUCCAAAAGAUGACCUCAGUAACUCAAUCAAAGCAUCAAAAAAAUAAUAAUUAGGAGCCCAUCAGAAAAAAAUUUCCUCCCUUAAAAAAUCUAGAUCUUAGGGGCCAUCAUCAA
rnacentral:lncRNA from 1 species